rnacentral:misc_RNA from 1 species
GUAGGUGAACCUGCGGAAGGAUCAUUAAAAAUUUGCCAAAAAAAUGAAUGUUUUUCUGGUCAAAAAAAUUGUGCGCACCGUAACCAUAUCGCCUUGGCAGGGGCUUUGGGCAAAAUGAGGUCAUACUCUUUUUUUGCCCAACUUUCGCGAUGACUCCAUCCCACCUAAAAAAUGGGACAGUCAUCGUGGAGAGCCGUUUCCCUGCCGAGGAACAACCUAAAAACACUUUUUAAAAAAACUAUUGUCUGAA